rnacentral:lncRNA from 1 species
AGGCAGGGAGGCGGGGCAGAACGGUGAGGGCGGCGACCCUGAGCGCUCAGCAGGAUCCCAGCAAAAGGCAUGGCCAUUUGGAGAGCAUAGGGGUCAUGCGGGGUCACACCCAUGUCUCUGUUUUCCCUCAGGUCUGUCCUGCCAGUGCCAGGGCUCUCCCCUCAACACCCUCCCACCUCUCUCUUCCCCCUGGGUCUUGGGUCACACAGCUGUCUUGGGGGCGGGGCGAGGGGGCAGGGCUGGAGGGUGGCCAGAGUUCACCCAAGGUCUCGUGGAUGGCAUGGUGAUCCCAGUCCCUGGCAGCAGUGACCAAUAGCCACCUAUGUGAUCCCUUACCUAUACUUGGACCCCAACUUUAGACCUGACCCUGACAUCAUAUGUAAACCCCAACCUUUGACCACAUCAUGACCUCUAUAUUGCCCUGUGACCAGGAUGACACUGUCCUAUAACCCUGACAAGACCCCGACACUGUCCACCACACUCCAAACCAGCCUCUGCCCUGCCCACUAUGCAUUCCAGGUUCUGACCCCUAGCCCCCACCACAUGCAUCAGUGAUUCCCUGGUGACAUUGGAAUUCCGCACCCCCCCCCCCAUGUCACAUGGCUAGGCCCAGUCUUCCAGGGGAAGGAGGGGUGUCACUCGCCACUCUGUGUCCCAUUGUCAUCCGAAGGCCUUGCUAAGGUUGUGCACUGCCAGUAGCAUGGUAUGAUCUCCAAGAAUAGCAGCAUCAGUGAAGUGGAUCCACCUGAGCCUAGAGUGCUGCAGAGGGCAGAGCUGGAAACCUGAAACCAGCCCCUUGGAGGAGGCCAGAAGGCAAGACCCCGUCAGAAGAGUUAGGAAAGGACUCACAGAAAUGAAGGGGAUUGCAACCCCAUAGGAAGAACAAAUCAACCCACUGGACCACAAAGAGCAUCCAGGGACUAAACCACCUACCAAAGAGUAUGCAUGGAGAGAUGCAUGGCUCCAGCUCUAUAUGUAGCAGAGGAUGGCUUCAUCUGGCACCAGUGGGAGAGGAGGCCCUUGGUCCUGUGGAGGCUUGAUGCCCCAGUGUAGGGCGAUGCUAGAGCAGUGUGAAUCUGGAGUGGGUGGAGGCAAAGAGGAGAGGGGGAUGGGAUGGUGAGUGUGUGGAGGGGAAAGAGGGAAGGGGAUUAUCAUUUGAAUUGUAAACAAAUAAAAUGAUUAAUAAAAAGAGGAAAAA